rnacentral:rRNA from 1 species
ACGCUGGCGGCACGCCUAACACAUGCAAGUCGAACGAAGUAGCAAUACUUAGUGGCAAACGGGUGAGUAAUAUGUGGGAAUCUGCCCUUCGGUCUGGAAUAACACGAGGAAACUUGCGCUAAUACCGGAUAAGCCUUUACAGGGAAAGCUUUAUGCUCCGAUGGAUGAGUCCACACUUGAUUAGUUAGUUGGUGAGGUAAAAGCUCACCAAGACAAUGAUCAAUAGCUGAUUUGAGAGGAUGAUCAGCCACAUUGGGACUGAGACACGGCCCAAACUCCUACGGGAGGCAGCAGUGGGGAAUCUUGCACAAUGGGAGCAAUCCUGAUGCAGCGAUGCCGCGUGAGUGAAGAAGGCCCUUGGGUUGUAAAGCUCUUUCGUCGGGGAAGAAAAUGACUGUACCCGAAUAAGAAGGUCCGGCUAACUUCGUGCCAGCAGCCGCGGUAAUACGAAGGGACCUAGCGUAGUUCGGAAUUACUGGGCUUAAAGAGCUCGUAGGUGGUUAGAAAAGUUGGUGGUGAAAUCCCAAGGCUUAACCUUGGAACUGCCGCCAAAACUUUUUGACUAGAGUAUGAUAGAGGAAAGUGGAAUUUCUAGUGUAGAGGUGAAAUUCGUAGAUAUUAGAAAGAAUACCAAUUGCGAAGGCAGCUUUCUGGAUCAUUACUGACACUGAGGAGCGAAAGCAUGGGUAGCGAAGAGGAUUAGAUACCCUCGUAGUCCAUGCCGUAAACGAUGUGUGCUAGACGUUGGAAAUUUAAUUUUCAGUGUCGCAGCAAAAGCGUUAAGCACACCGCCUGGGGAGUACGACCGCAAGUAAACUCAAUGAUGACGUC